rnacentral:tmRNA from 1 species
AACCUUUAAUCAACGCUCAUAUGUGCAUAUAUUGGGGGUGUGCCAGGUCGCACCUGGAUAUGGCGAUAAACGGUCUGCGAAAUAAACCUAUCGGACCCGGGGGCAGUACCCGGCGCCUCCACCACAAACCCGCCGAUAUUGGCCAAUCAGGUCAACGUCGGGCUUCUGUGGGGGCGAACUAGGAUCGACGAGGGCGUAAAGGCAGUUCUUUUGCUCGGCAUGGUUCCGCCGUUAUCGGGCCGAUUUAGUAGUUGCAAACGACAACUAUGCGGAAGCACGUCUCGCUGCUUAGCAGCGCGAUUGGUUUCAAAUUGAGUCUUAGCGGUUCGCGCCGUUGAGCGGGGUUCGAGGGCACCUGGCAACAGAAGCCCUCACU